ensembl:ncRNA lncRNA:CR43621 long non-coding RNA:CR43621
UGUUACGGAUUUCCAGAAUGCCCCAUAAUUGGUGGAUUGCUCUGGGAUGCGGCAUGCGUGUUAAUAGCCAUAGCGUUUGUUGUAUUUACAGCACCGCAGGAUCAUCGUUCAUCAUCCCAACCCCAUCGACAGAUCGGCGCCCAUCAUUUAUAAAUUGCCGCAUCAAAUAAAGGCAAACGCUUGAGUUAAUCCACUUAAUUGCCGUCUGCCUGCGCGAAUCACGGGUCCUUGAUGUCCGUGAAAUACUCCUGGCUCUGCCCGGCCUCCGCAAUCAGCGAAUGCGAAUAGCGAAAGGAUGCAGUUACUCCAUGGUCCGGAUGUGUUCGCACUCGUGUAAACAUGCGUUUGUCAUUAGACACACCGGAAAUAUUGACAGCAUUCGACACGCGGCGCACGACCAUCCCGGGCAUCCUGCGAAAGGAACUUGCCACUUUAUUUGCCAUUUGAUUUUUUAAAAUUAAGCCGUCGAUCUCCUUUCUUGGCCACAAUUUAUCGGGACUUUGAUUGCGUAUUAGAAAAAUAUCUGACAUGAGUUCUGGGAAAUUGGUUUAGUCUAGCACUGCAAAAUGACACGCGCUUUCGAACAAUCGAAACAAUCCUGGGGCCAUUGGAAUGUUUUCAAAGGACAUGCAAUGCGGGUAUCUCUUCAUGGAUUGUGGGAGAAUAUUUGUAAAUUUGAUGUAAUCCAACGCCUUAAUUUCUACAAAACACAAAGCAAAUGCAAAUAAUAUGCACGAGAAAGUAUUUACACGAAAUUUCGAGCAUGGAUAUCCAAAAACAAAUUAAACGUGGGAAAAUAUGAAAAU